rnacentral:lncRNA from 1 species
AGGGAGGUCAAAGGAAGCAUGGCAUGCAUUUUUAAUGGGAACAGUCUCAGGCUGUGGAACACAGGGGACAGCCUGCUUCCCCAGAGGGAAGGAUGGAUGCAGAAUGUGUGUGUGUGUGUGUGUGUCUUUUCUGCUUGAUGGUCUGUAUUUUCUCUUUUUAAAAAACCACUUCUCUGGGGCUGGGGAUGUGGCUCAAGCGGUAGCGCGCUCGCCUGGCAUGCGUGCGGCCCGGGUUCGAUCCUCAGCACCACGUACAGACAAAGAUGUUGUGUCCGCCAAAUACUAAAAAAUAAAAUUUAAAAAAAAAAAAAACACUUCUCUAAGCCAGGCGCAGUGGCACACUCCUUGUUUUAUCAGCUUAUUCACUGCUGUGACCAAAAUACCUGACAAGAACAGUUAGAGGAUGAAAAGUUAAUUUGGGGACUCAUGGUUUCAGAGGUCUUAGACCAUAGAUGGCCGACUCCAUUAUUUGGGGCUUGAGGUGAGGCAGAAGAUCAUGGUAGAAGAAUGUGGCAGAGGAAAGCAGUUCAGGACAUGGCCACCGGGAAGCAGAGAGAGAUUCUACUUGCCAGAUACAAAAUAUAUAUCCCAAAGGCAUGUCCCCAGUGACCUACCUUCAGCCACAUCCCACCUACCUGCAGUCUCCACCCAGUUAAUCCCUACCAGGGGAUUAAUUCACUGGUUAGAUUAAACCUGUCAUAACCCAAUCAUUUCACCUUUCAUUGUCUUACAUCUGAGCUUUUGGGGAACACCUCAUAUCUAAACCAUAACACACUUGUAAUCCCAGCAAUUCUGGAGGCUAAGGCAGGAAGACUAAGAGUUCAAGGUCAGCCUCAGCAAUUUAGUGAGAUUCUGUCUCAAAAUAAAAAAUAAAAAGGACUGAUAAUGUGGCUGAAUGGUAAGGGGCCCCUACAUUCAAUUCCCAGUACCAAAAAAAAAAAACUGUUUUUUUUACUUAUUUUAUUUUGGUACUGGGGAUUGAACUCAAGGGCUCUCUACCACUGAGCCACAUCCCCAACCCUUAUUAUUUUUUAUUUUGAGAUAAGGUCUUGCUAAGUUACUGAGGCUGGCCACAUUCUUGUGAUCCUCCUGCCUCGGUCUCUCAAGUUGCUGAAGUGAGAGGUGUGAGUCACCACACCUGGCUAAUUCUCUGUUGUUUUUUUUGUUUGUUUGUUUUGUUGGUUUUUUUUAAAUAAUUUUAAUAUUUAUUUUUUAGUUUUCGGUGGGCACAACAUCUUUGUUUGUAUGUGGUGCUGAGGAUCGAACCCUGGCCGCGCGCAUGC